rnacentral:rRNA from 1 species
UAGUCCACGCCGUAAACGAUGUCUACUUGCUGUCUGUGUUCUUGUAACGUGGGUAGCGCAGCUAACGCGAUAAGUAGACCGCCUGGGGAGUACGGCCGCAAGGUUAAAACUCAAAUGAAUUGACGGGGGCCCGCACAAGCGGUGGAGCAUGUGGUUUAAUUCGAUGCAACGCGAUGAACCUUACCAUCCCUUGACAUCCACAGAAUUCUUUAGAGAUAGAGAAGUACCUUCGGGGACUGUGAGACAGGUGCUGCAUGGCUGUCGUCAGCUCGUGUUGUGAAAUGUUGGGUUAAGUCCCGCAACGAGCGCAACCCUUAUCCUUAGUUGCCAGCCUUAAGUUGGGACUCUAGGGAGACUGCCGGUGAUAAACCGGNGGAAGGUGGGGACGACGUCAAGUCAUCAUGGGCCCUUACGGGGAUGGGGCUACACACGUGCUACAAUGGUGAGUACAGAGGGGCAGCUAGCUAGCGAUAGUACNCGAAUCCCUUAAAGCUCAUCGUAGUCCGGGAUU